CCAGCCUCCCCAUCCUCUCCUGAACACUUGCCUGCCACACCUGCAGAGUCUCCAGCACAGAGAUUUGAGGCGCGGAUAGAAGAUGGCAAACUGUAUUAUGAUAAGAGAUGGUACCACAAGAGCCAGGCCAUCUACCUGGAGUCUAAGGACAACCAGAAACUGAGCUGUGUGAUCAGCUCAGUAGGAGCCAAUGAGAUCUGGGUGAGGAAGACCAGCGACAGCACCAAGAUGCGGAUCUACCUGGGCCAGCUGCAGCGCGGGCUCUUCGUGAUCCGCCGGCGGUCAGCGGCUUGACUUUCUACGUGCUUCCUCUUCCCUUGACCCCUUUUCUGGAGUGGUUUUUAUUUUUGUUUUGUUUUCUUCUUAAUAGAAAAUUCUUAACUUACCGGGACUAGCUCCUUGGCCUGGGACAUGGAGAGCACUGUGGAGUCUUCAGGGCGCUCACGUGGCCGCCACCUCCAUCUCUGUCCGCUCUGUCCUGCUCCGCCUCUUCCAGAACUCGGUCACCAGAGACUCUUGCUUUCGGAGUCCGGGGUCACCACCUUCCUUGUAUUCCACUCUUGUCCUGUUUUGUUUAUACUUGAUCCUUUUUCCGACCUCCUUGGAGUUUGAAGGGAAGCUGUUUUUAACAAUUAUCUCUAGGUCUCUGAAGAGCAUCGGGUGUGCUUUCCUGCCUGAAUCUGAUUGGCAGAUCGUGUGCCUGCUUCCUACCUUGGGCCCAGAAGCGUGGGGCAGGAGAGUUCUCCUGACUCUGCUUUUCUUGGAGAAAUAAAUGACACAGAACAUCUCAUCUGCCUUGGGCUGCUACUCCGCUGACUGGCUUCACUCUGGAUACCGCAACCAGCGGACGGGGCUGGGGGAGGGGCGUGGCAUGUUCACCGCA
rnacentral:lncRNA from 1 species